UACGAAGGGGGCGAGCGUUUAAUCGGAAUUACUGGGCGUAAAGCGUGCGCAGGCGGUUAUGUAAGACAGAUGUGAAAUGCCCGGGCUUAACCUGGGAACUGCAUUUGUGACUGCAUGGCUAGAGUUUGGCAGAGGGGGGUAGAAUUCCACGUGUAGCAGUGAAAUGCGUAGAUAUGUGGAGGAACACCGAUGGCGAAGGCAGCCCCCUGGGUCAAGACUGACGCUCAUGCACGAAAGCGUGGGGAGCAAACAGG
rnacentral:rRNA from 1 species